ACACUGACAGAACUCUUACAGUUGGUGGUUGUUUUUCUGGUUUGCUCUAGGAGGCAAAAGAAAACACUCCCUGAACUUCCUGACUGACUUUGUGGCAGCCCAGAUUGCACUGGGGAGUACAUCC
rnacentral:snoRNA from 1 species